CCUGUCUCAUUCCCACCCACGCGCUUCUCUCUCUCACCAGCAGACCGCGCCGCCGCCGCGCCACCGCUCUCCGGAUCAUCGGCCGUCCACCUCCUCCUCCUCCUCGCCCGCUCACCGGCCGUCCCUGCUGAGACUCUGCACAGGAUCAGCUUUGGUCAAAUCUAUCUCAGCAAGCCAAUGAUGACUGAAGCCGAUGGAGAGACAGCUACUUUAUUUCCAAAAUCAGCAAGGCUCAGGAACUUGACAUACUCUGCACCACUGUAUGUUGAUGUGUCAUACAGAGUAAUGAAGAAAGGACAUGACUGUGAGGAAGUUACAGAGACUGCAGAGUAUCCAAAAGUGUUUAUUGGGAAGGUUCCAAUCAUGUUGCGCUCUAGUUACUGCACACUGUAUCAAUAAUCUGAGAAGGAUCUCACUGAACUUGGGGAGUGUCCUUAUGACCAAGGUGGUUAUUUCAUUAUCAAUGGAAGCGAAAAGGUUCUUAUUGCCCAGGAGAAGAUGAGCACUAACCAUGUCUAUGUUUUUAAGAAGAGGCAGCCUAAUAAAUUUGCAUAUGUGGCUGAAGUCCGUUCCAUGGCUGAGAACCAGAACAGACCAGCCAGCGGCAUGUUUGUACGGAUGCUUUCACGAGCAGGAGCAAAAGGGUGCGUUGGAGAAGACAUUGAUGAUUUGCAGUACACACCUAAACCCGAAUUUGAGGGGUAUUUUAGAGUUAAGAAUGUUCAAACUGAGUUGGAUCUACUUAAAGCAUGGUUUUCUCACAUGCAAGAGGUUAAGCCUGGCAUUUAUGUUACAUACAACGAUGACUUUUUUGACUGGCCAUUUUUAGAGAAGAGGGCUGCACACCAUGGAAUAAAAAUGAAUGAGGAGAUUGGUUUCCAAUGUGACAAUAACCAGGGCGAGUGUCGGGCUAAAUUUUCUUGCCAUCUUGACUGUUUUGCUUGGGUGAAGCGAGACAGUUACCUUCCACAAGGAAGCCAAGGUCUAAAGCACACUUGCAGGCUGUUACAAAAGCCAAGCUACGUUACGAUCCUCUGGAGGUUAAUCCAGAAGAUAUGGUUCGCUUUGCAAUGGAGCAGCCACAGACAAUGGCUUCGUAUUCUGUAUCAGACGAUGUUGCAACAUACUAUCUAUACAUGACUUAUGUCCAUCCUUUCAUCUUUUCUCUUGCAACCAUAAUACCUAUGUUACCUGAUGAGGUACUGUGGAAAGGAAGUGGGACACUUUGUGAAAUUCUGCUAAUGGUUCAGGCAUUCAAGGCUGGAGGCACACAACUAUGAAUAGUGCAUCUUCUAAAAUCUCUCACUAAAUCAGCUAGCUCUUCUCACUAAAUCAGCCAGCUCUUCUGCUUGUCCCAUUGUCAUCCAGAUACUUAUUUGGGAUGUUGAAGUACAACCAAAUAGACAUGCUGUCCUAGGAGCAAGCGAGUCUCGCCCUGAUCUGGUAUGAUUCAUUGUUUUGUUCAGUGUGCCAGAUUUAUGGCUUCAAUGAGAUGUUGGUGCUAGCUCAUCUGUUAAGUGAUGAUAGAUAACAGUAUGUCUACAUGUUGCUCUAGCACGAUUACUGGGGGUCUAGGAAUAUUUGCAACAUUGUUUCCAAGCUGGAUAGCCACAUGUCAGUACUUAGCUGAAGAUAUGCUGAUGGUAUUCAUUUCCUAGGGCAGCUAGUAACACUUUCCUGUUAUUCCAUUUGAAUAGAAUUUCCUACUAAUGCCAAUUCGCUCCCGUGAAUUUCAGGAAUGGGUUUACAAGCCCCAUAUAAUAAAUCAUAACAGUGCGGGAGCAUUUUUUGGAUGUCCUUCACACAGAUGCAGGCAAUGAAAGAAACAGAAAAUAGACAAUGUUAGCGCGGAGUGAGACAGAUAGGAAUUGGGAUAGAAUCAUCCUUGUUCUCAGAUCAGCUGUACAUUCUUUAUUAAGGUAGUAUAUCAUACAUGUACGAGUAGACUGACGGUUGCUUCCAAAUACUCCAUGUGUUUGAAAUAUGUAUUGUAUGUGAUAUUCUGUGUUGCAUGU